rnacentral:rRNA from 1 species
UACAGAGGUCUCAAGCGUUGUUCGGAUUCAUUGGGCUUAAAGAGUUCGUAGGCGGCAUUGCAAGUAGGGUGUGAAGCCCUCGGCUCAACCGAGGAAUUGCGCUCUAAACUGCAGUGCUCGAGGAACCUAGAGGUGAGCAGAACAGAUGGUGGAGCGGUGAAAUGCGUUGAUAUCAUCUGGAAUACCGGAGGCGAAGGCGGCGUCACUGGGGUUUCUGACGCUGAGGAACGAAAGCCAGGGUAGCGAACGGG